rnacentral:rRNA from 1 species
GAUGAACGCUGGCGGCGUGCCUAAUACAUGCAAGUCGAGCGAAUGGAUUAAGAGCUUGCUCUUAUGAAGUUAGCGGCGGACGGGUGAGUAACACGUGGGUAACCUGCCCAUAAGACUGGGAUAACUCCGGGAAACCGGGGCUAAUACCGGAUAACAUUUUGAACCGCAUGGUUCGAAAUCGAAAGGCGGCUUCGGCUGUCACUUAUGGAUGGACCCGCGUCGCAUUAGCUAGUUGGUGAGGUAACGGCUCACCAAGGCAACGAGGCGUAGCCGACCUGAGAGGGUGAUCGGCCACACUGGGACUGAGACACGGCCCAGACUCCUGCGGGAGGCAGCAGUAGGGAAUCUUCCGCAAUGGACGAAAGUCUGACGGAGCAACGCCGCGUGAGUGAUGAAGGCUUUCGGGUCGUAAAACUCUGUUGUUAGGGAAGAACAAGUGCUAGUUGAAUAAGCUGACACCUUGACGGUACCUAACCAGAAAGCCACGGCUAACUACGUGCCAGCCGCCGCCGUAA